ensembl:snRNA U6 U6 spliceosomal RNA
GUGCUCACUUCAGCAGCAAAUACACUAAAACUGGAACAACACAAGAAGAUUAGCAUGGUCCCUGCACAAGGAUGACUUGCAAAUUGGUGAGGCUUUCCAUCUUUUU